UACGAAGGUGGCAAGCGUUACUCGGAAUUACUAGGCGUAAAGGGCAGGUAGGUGGUUCGAUAAGUCUGUUGUGAAAGCUCCCGGCUCAACUGGGAGAGGCCAACAGAAACUAUCGGACUUGAGUAUAGGAGAGGUUACUGGAAUUCCCGGUGUAGCGGUGAAAUGCGCAGAGAUCGGGAGGAACACCAAUGGCGAAAGCAGGUAACUGGACUAUUACUGACACUCAACUGCGAAAGCUAGGGGAGCAAACAGG
rnacentral:rRNA from 1 species